rnacentral:rRNA from 1 species
UAAUACCAGCUCCUCGAGUGGUCGGGGCGAUUAUUGGGCCUAAAAGCAUCCGUAGCUUGUUCUGUAGGUCCUCUGUUAAAUCCAACGGCUUAACCGUUGGCCCGCAGAGGAUACCGCAGGACUAGGAGGCGGGAGAGGUGGACGGUACUCCACGUGUAGGGGUAAAAUCCUUUGAUCCGUGGAAGACCACCAGUGGCGAAGGCGGUCCACCAGAACGCGCUCGACGGUGAGGGAUGAAAGCUGGGGGAGCGAACCGGAUUAGAUACCCGGGUAGUCCCAGCCGUAAACGAUGCGAGCUAGAUGAUCCGGUCGCAAAUCGCGAUCGGAGUGUCGCAGGGAAGCCGUUAAGCUCGCCGCCUGGGGAGUACGGUCGCAAGACUGAAACUUAAAUGAAUUGACGGUCGUAGCUGA